UACACCAUCUUCACCAGGUCUGAA
rnacentral:siRNA from 1 species